rnacentral:misc_RNA from 1 species
UAAUAGCACUCCAGUUCAUAAAGGCAUUGAUGCUGUCACAUCUGGAAAGGAGAGCGUGAAUAGCUUGCAUGAUGAUGUUCAAAACGUGUGCAAUACAGUCUUCGACACUAAAAGCAAUGAUGAAAUUGGAAGUAAAUUUGAUGGUGACAAUAUAGAUGACAAAGCGGUGCACGAAAGAGAUGAGGAUUCCGAAAGAUUGCGUUUUGAUAGUCUAGCUAGUGAAGGGAUGUCCAGUGAUGCUGAACUUUCACAUGGCCCCUCUGUUUUGGCUGAUGCAAGGUUGUCUGAAGUAGAUACUUCUUUUACUUCGUUCAGCAGAGAUAUGUCUAGCAAUGAUGCUGUUGCAUUGGGAAAUGAAGCUACUGAUAGCCGUAUUUCUCAUGGUCAAAGUCCAGCGGAUAUGGUUCAAGAGAUCAUUGGUAAAGCAGUAGGAAGUGAAUCUAAUGAUGUGGACAGAAGUAGCAAUGACAAAUUGAUGUGUGAAGACUUUGAGGAUGACAAAAGUUUCAACUACAGUAGUCCAGCUGCUGAAGGGAUGUCUUGUAAUGCUGAGUUUUCCCAAGGCCUAUCUACUUCUGUUGAUUCCAAAAUUUCUGAAGUGGGUAAUUAUUGUGCUUCAAAUACUGAAGACGUGUGUAGCAACGACACUGGUGGGGCUGAAAAUGAAGAUUUGAAUAGCUCUACUGAUGACCCCCAACUGCCGGGACCUAACUUGAUCAGAGACGGUAGAGGAGUUGAAAAUUUGGAAGGUGAAUUAAAUGGUGGUGAUAACAGUAUAAACAAGGAAAUACUUAACAAAAAAUGUGAGGAUCCGGAAAAAUCAAACAACAAUUCAGAUAACGUGCGGGUGCAUAGUGAUGCUGAAUUUUCUAUCGAUCAGUCUGUUUUAGCUGAUGUGAAAUUGUGCAAAGCUGGAAAUUCUUCUGCUUCAAGCAUUAAAGAUGAGUGCCACGAUGUUGUAUGUGGAAGUACUUUGAAUGACCCCAUUCGUGAAUGUAAAAUGGUGCCCGAUAUGGCUACGGAGUUCAGUGACAUUAAGAAGGAAGGUGAAUCUAGUGUUGCGGACCAAACCAGCGAUGACAAAUUCAUACAUGAAAGUGUGGAUGCUGAAAAACCACCGAGCAUAAGUAUUGAUGAAAGGAUGUCUUGCAAUGAUGAAAGUAGCCAGGAUCAGGCUACUAUUGCUGAUUUAGAGUUAUCUGAAGCGGGAAAUACUUCAAGCGGUAGAGAUGUUUCUAGCUUUGAUGCUAUGACAUUGGAAAAUGAGACUUUGACUUGUCCAAUUGAAAUUGAUCAAGAGUCAGCCAACACGAGCAUAGAGAUCGCAGGCAGUGAAGAAAUGACAGGUGGUUCAGACAGGAGUAAUGAUGACGAACUUAAAUGUGAACAAAGUGGGAAUGCUGAAAUUUCAAAGACUAACGAAGUGUUGGCCUCUUCGGCUGAAUGUUUCUCUGUGGAUGUUGCUACUGUAAAGGAUAUAAAUCAGAUUGCAGCAAAGGGAUUUUACUUCCUGAUCAGGAUGCCAAGAUUUGAUGAUGAAAAGAUUCGAGAAUGCAUCAAAGUUGCCGAGCAAAAUGUUGAUGAGAAGACACAGCAAAGGGAUGCAUUUAGACAAAAAAUCAGAAAUGAAAGAGCCAAUUGCCAAACCCAUGGUACUGAAUUUGAAGCUGCCAAAGCUCAAGAGAGAGAUGCUAGAAAGCAAGUCAGGACAAAGCGUGCAGAUAUCUCGUCACUUCAAGAUAUAAUUGAUAAAGCAAAGAACGCAGUUGCCGUUACUGAGAUUGAUAAUAGGAUUUGUAAUAUGGAGCACAUUAUUGGACAUGAAACUGUACCUCUAAAGGAGGAAAAGCUUCUAAUUCGUGAAAUCAAGCAACUGAAGCAGCUUCGUGGACAGCUUUCCUCUAACAUUGGCAGCCAGGAUGAAGUGCAGAAGUCUCUGGAUGAGAGAGAAGUAAACGAAGAGCGAUUGAGGGCCUUGAAGAAAGAGCUUGAUAGCCUCAAAGUCAAGGUCUCAAAAGCUGAAACAAUUGCGAUGGCAGCUAGCCGAAAAUUUGAAGAUGAGAGUCGAAAGCUCAAAGAAUUGCAAGCACAGUUUAAAGCUGCAGAUGAUGUUCGCCAAGAAGCAUAUGAAGAAUUGCGGAAUUUAAAAAAGGGACUGUAUGAGAAGAAUAUUCAUUUCCGGACAUACAAGGAUGAAGCGACUUUGGCUAGUGAUCAUGCCCGAAAGAUAGAAAUGGAGACUCUUAAUCAUCUCUGUGUGGAUCAGGUUGAAAGGUACAUGGAUCUUUGGAACAAGAAUGAUGAGUUCAGAAAAGAUUACAUCAGGUGUAAUACAAGGAGUACAGUAAGGAGAUUUGGGACCUUGGAUGGUCGUUCACUUGGUCCUGAUGAGGAGCCAGCUGUUCUUCCCAGUUACCGGGUGGAAAGAGUUAAUAGGAUGGUAUCUAGUGUAGAUAAAGUUAGUAGUAUGUCACAACGUCCGGUCUCUCAGCUAGUAAAACAAGUAGUAGUUCUUAAGGAUGAAAUUAAGGAUGACAGUAUUGUUGUGCCAGCAGCCGAAGGUAUGAAACAGGUUGAGAAAACGAAAGAGGCUCGCAAACCAAUUCAAAGAGAGAGUACGGUUGAGGAGCCAAAAGAGGCCGAGCCUGUGCAAACUGCUGAGGAGCUAGAGGCUGCUAGAAAGGAGGAGGAACUGAGAAAGCGUGAGGAAGAAGCAAGGUUGAAAGAGCAACGACGGUUGGAAGAGAUUGCAAAGGCUAAGGAGGCAUUAGAAAGGAAAAAACGCAAUGCAGAGAAGGCCCAACUGAGAGCUGAAAUGCGAGCCCAGAAGGAAGAAGAGCAGAGACUCAAGGAGAAGGAGAAAAAACUGCGGAAAAGGGAAAGGAAGAAGGGCUCCGUAGGUGAAACACAGAGCGAAACUAAUGAUGGUGAAGCUGCUUUGAUUUCUACCAGCCUAAGAGAAACUGUCAAGGAGCCCGAUGCUACUGAGAAUUCUCAAACACUCACUAGGAGAAAACAGAAAUCGUCUCAAUAUACAAAACAGAUGAAGACUAAAUCCAUUCCUCCCCCUCCUCGUAUCAAAGGUAAAAGGAAAUGGCAGCAGUGGCUUUGGUUAUUUCUUUCUUGCGCAGUCGUCAUUGCUCUGUUCUUCCUAGGAAAUAUUGGCUUCUUCUCCCAUCUGAAGCCACCAAAAAACCCUGCAUAUUAGGGUCAUUACCUUGUUAGAUCUGGCUUGGAGUAAAGACUACAGGUUUGUUUUAUAUCUUACAGAUGAAGUGAGGAGAGAGACCAUUCUUUCGUUCUAUAUAUAUACAUAAUAUAUGUUGGUUCAUCAUAGAUUUGAACAUUUGGUUCUUAGUAGAGUGAGCAGAUGUUUUAAGCAACAUAGAACAUAAUAUUGGUAUUUAUUACUUUACUACAAAAA